rnacentral:lncRNA from 1 species
UAAAUUGUUUUAUUAUAUCGGAAAUCUAACUAAGUUUAGCCCUUGAGUACCAUAGUUCAAACUAUAGAUUAUUCAAUUGGUCCGUUAUUAUUAUUAUUUUAUAUUAGACAGUAUUCGAAUCUUAUUGGUUAUGAUCAAACUUACGAGAAGGGGGAUUAUAUCAUUAUCGGAAGAAAAAAUAACGUAUUUAGUUUUAGCAUUUCCCUUGUUAAACUAGCCUUUAAUUAUUUCAGAAAUUACAACAUAUUUAUUUCUAAAAUUGGUUGAUUAUUCAGAAUGACGAUGUUUUCAAACACCCUAACUUAAAAAAAAAGGAAGCCAGAUUGCUCCCGAAUAAUGUAUUACACUUGAAUAAUUUCAUUUUGAUAAAACUGAACCAUCCACACAAGAAGACAUCUGAAGAGGCUCAAACCAUGAAAGGAGAGUGAAUUGUAGUAUAUGUGUCUUUCUUACAAGAUUGAACCAAUUGCUAAAACUUUUAAUGUUCCAAAAAUUAGGUCUAGUCACAUGUUUCAUAAAUAUAUGUGUACAAAAUCUUUGCCCCCAGUGGUACAGCGCUAAGUCUGCGGAUUUAAAACGCUAGAAACUGGGUUUCGCUACCAGUGGUGGGCACAGCACAGAUUGCCCAUUGUGUAGCUUUGUGCUUAACUACAAACAAACAAAACAAAAUAUUUAAGAUUGUAAAAGAUAUCGGAAACUUCUGAAAAGAUGGUCAAUCUAAAUUUACCACAAAACCUUUAAUCAACAUCAGUAACUUUACUGUUUAGUUCAAAAUCUACGAUAUAUAUAUGUACUUUUUACAAAUUACAAAGUCGAUUGUUAAUGUUCAGGCCAGACUCCAGCUCACGUCCCAUGGUAGUGAAGUUUGUGUUGACUUUUCUUAGCAAAUUAAAUAGAUCAUACGAUUCUUUAUACUUUGGUAGACCAGACAGAAGUUUUGGGGGUGAACGGCCCAUCCUAGCACCCCCUAGCGUGAGCCCUGUUAAAAAAAAAAGAGCUAUUAAAUAUAUUGUUUACUUGACUCUUCCCGCCAAAAUUCCCAAAUGUUAGCAUUAUAUUGAUCGUUCACUUCCGAAUCGACAAGAUUAACUAAUUAAAUGUUUAAGUCUGAUUUAACUUCAUUUUUCGUUGCAGUGAGUUUCGGUGUGAUAUUGUUUCCGUUUCUCAAGUGACACUGUUAUUCAGUGGUGUACAUAGCAUUUCAACAAAAUCCCCCCUCCCUUUUAUUUUGAACAACUUACAUGAGAAACAAAACACUAAUAAUUAUGUCCUCAAGGGAUAAUAAGGUCUUAACAAAUAUAAAAUCAUGCUUCUAGUUGGGAAAAAAAAAAUUGAUAAAUACUUUGGUUACAGACGAUAUUCCUUGGAGUUGCGCAGAAAAAAAGUAAGUUCCGAUAUAUUAAAUUUACGAAUUACGGUAAACCGAAAUUAUUACAAAAUGACAAACUAUCAAUUCUAAAAUAUUGUUUGAAUAUGGUCAUGAUUAUUAAAGUUUGAAAGUUAAACUUGUAAGUAGGUAGGCAUUAGAUACCUUACACGGGGUUAUUGGCAAAAUUAAACAGGAUCCUUUAACUCCCAGUAUAGCGGGAGAUAUGCCACUGCUCUAUUCCAAAAAAAGAAAAUUGGUUCUAGGACGAAAGCCAUUAUUAGAAGUAUUACGUAAUGAAUUUUAAAAUAAAAUAAAAAUAUUGUUUACUGUGAGGUGAAACUACUGAACCCUUGUUGUGCAACAGUUUCCUGGAAAUUUAAGUUUCAAAAACCGGAUGUCUCAUCAUUUGGCGUUAUGCCAGACUGUGGGUAUUUGUUUUGAUUUUCCAGUAUUUAAAUUGUAAGAAUCAUCUCAACAACUUUAAGGCAGUUUUUGAUAACACAUAAACGCUGUGUCCUGAAAAUGUUUGACUCCAGAACUUGACACGUAUGAAACAAAUUGUAUACAUAGCGUGUCUUAACAAAUCAAAAUGACAUUUAUUCCUCUGUUCUCAUAAUUUUUAAAACUUCAUUCUUUCACGAAUGCGUACGCGCCAUCUACUGGUUAUUAUGAAUAUAUACAGUGUUGUCAAAUUUGCAACAGGAAAUUAGCGAUCCGGACUGAAAAUAAACCCAACCUUCCCCCCUCAUGCUUUCUUUUCGCUCGUGUCAUUUUGAAUUAAUAAAUCAUUCUAAUGUUUGUAAGAUAAUAACAGAACAAACCGUGACACAAAAGUAGUUACUGAGCGAUGUUUAAAAAUUACACAUUUAAAAUCUGCAAUUUACUAUUAUGUUUCAAUGAAAUUUUAGGCAGAAGAGUUUCAGGACUUAAUCAACAGUAGCCGGCUGUUGAAAUAAAAAAAGGAGACUACGUUUCUUCUACAAAAGAAAGAGGCCUCAAUAUAGAAGCCGAAACGUCGCUUUUCUUUCAACAGGCAGUUGUUGUCCAUUAGUUCUUAAACCACCUACAAUUGUAUUUCAAGUCAGAAACCUCUGAAAAUUAAUUACUUCAGCAAAAAGUUUGUUUUAUUACAUCUUACUUUUAAGUGAAUCAGCUACUUGAUCGUUUCAAGUUUGUGUGAUGGAUGUAGGUAAAUUUACGUCUCAAGUUUGUGUGAUGGAUGUAGGUAAACUUACUUCUCAAGUUUGUGUGGUGGAUGUAAGUAAACUUACGUCUCAAGUUUGUGUGGUGGAUGUAGGUAAAUUUACGUCUCAAGUUUGUGUGGUGGAUGUAGGUAAACUUACGUCUCAAGUUUGUGUGAUGGAUGUAGGUAAACUUGCGAGUUUACAAACGGUGAAUAUCCCCAUGAAAUAUAAAUGACCAAAUCAACUAGAUUUCCACUUAGUUAGUCUUAGUUUGAAAAUGAAGAGUGCUCGUUGCCUGGUGUAAACUCAAUAAGUAUUAUGCAAAGCAAUGGAAUGAGUUUAAUCGGGAUUAUGCAGUUAGAAUGUUUUUAAGUUUUGCAUAGCUGCAUAAUUAAUAUUUAACUGGCCUCGUGCACUUUGAUUAUUUUUUCAGUUUUCAUGAUAAGCGAUCAAAACCAAAAACAAACCCAAAACUAUUAUAGCGUCAAAAUAUAGUUAAAGUGACUGCACGAAUAGACAAGUACAGUUCUGCCGUUUUUAAGUGGAACUGGCAACUCUGAAAAUAGUAUUAAAUUACGUUUUAAAAUUAAAACUAUGCGGUCGUUUACUUCCAGUUAACAAUUUACUUUUAAUAGUGAGGAAACAAUUUGGCAUUCAGCAAAAUUAUCCAGCUUGCAAUGAAAUAUCUUCAAUUUUCAGAAAAAUGUUUCCAUUUAUUUUUCCAACACGUCUAUUGUUUCACUUUAUUAAUUAAUUUUCUGUGUUGCAUAUAGUAAAUAAGCUCAAAGGGAAAUCACAUUUAGUAAUUGAGUUAAUUAAAAUUUGGAUUUUCAUGCUUAUGCUUUUUUUUUUUUUAUAUACAUUUGAUGUUUAUUUACUGGGUAGUUAGCAAUCGACAGCGAUAUCGAAGUGUGUUUUCUGAAUAGUUGUUUUAGGGUUAAGACAGUAAGUGUGACGUAAAAUGUAGACAAAAACUUCCCCAUUUCGUGAUGAGAAGUUGAGUUUAAAUUUAUGUCGUUAAAUAAUAUAACUCAAUUUUAAAAAGCAGAAUGGAUUUCAAAUUCUUUUUAUGAUUGGAAAACUUAUUGUAUUUUUAAAAAUAUUAUAUGCAUUUGUUGUUUUUGGGGAACAUGAUGGAGAGAAGACUACGAAGUGUUGUUUGUGCAACUUCGCCAAACUAAACAAUAAUAAACUGUAUAGUGUACA